UACGUAGGGUGCGAGCGUUGUCCGGAAUUAUUGGGCGUAAAGAGCUCGUAGGCGGUUUGUCGCGUCGACUGUGAAAACCUACAGCUUAACUGUGGGCUUGCAGUCGAUACGGGCAGACUUGAGUUCGGUAGGGGAGACUGGAAUUCCUGGUGUAGCGGUGAAAUGCGCAGAUAUCAGGAAGAACACCCGUGGCUAAGGCGGCUCUCUAGUACGGUACUGACGCUGAGACGCGAAAGCGUGGGGAGCGAACAGG
rnacentral:rRNA from 1 species